rnacentral:rRNA from 1 species
UACAGAGGUCUCAAGCGUUGUUCGGAUUCAUUGGGCGUAAAGGGUGCGUAGGCGGCGCGGUAAGUCGGGUGUGAAAUCUCGGAGCUUAACUCCGAAAACUGCAUUCGAUACUGCCGUGCUUGAGGACUGGAGAGGAGACUGGAAUUUACGGUGUAGCGGUGAAAUGCGUAGAUAUCGUAAGGAAGACCAGUGGCGAAGGCGGGGUCUCUGGACAGUUCCUGACGCUGAGGCACGAAGGCCAGGGGGAGCAAAACGGG